AUAACACACCGAAAGGUGUACUAAUACCGCAUAAGACCACGGGAUCACAUGGUUCUGAGGUAAAAGAUUUAUCGGUUUGGGGUGGGCUCGCGUCCGAUUAGGUAGUUGGUGAGGUAACGGCCCACCAAGCCGACGAUCGGUAGCCGACCUGAGAGGGUGAUCGGCCACAUUGGGACUGAGACACGGCCCAAACUCCUACGGGAGGCAGCAGUGGGGAAUAUUGGGCAAUGGAGGAAACUCUGACCCAGCAACGCCGCGUGGAGGAAGAAGGUUUUCGGAUCGUAAACUCCUGUCCUUGGAGACGAGUAGAAGACGGUAUCCAAGGAGGAAGCCCCGGCUAACUACGUGCCAGCAGCCGCGGUAAUACGUAGGGGGCAAGCGUUGUCCGGAAUAAUUGGGCGUAAAGGGCGCGUAGGCGGCUCGGUAAGUCUGGAGUGAAAGUCCUGCUUUUAAGGUGGGAAUUGCUUUGGAUACUGUCGGGCUUGAGUGCAGGAGAGGUUAGUGGAAUUCCCAGUGUAGCGGUGAAAUGCGUAGAGAUUGGGAGGAACACCAGUGGCGAAGGCGACUAACUGGACUGUAACUGACGCUGAGGCGCGAAAGUGUGGGGAGCAUACAGGAUUAGAUACCCUGGUAGUCCACACUGUAAAC
rnacentral:rRNA from 1 species